rnacentral:rRNA from 1 species
UUGAAAGGGAAACGAUUGAAGUCAGUCGUACCGACGAGAAAUCAGCUUAUCGUGUGUUAACUUGUGGGCGUGCGUGAGUUUCGGCCUCGCUGUUUGCAUGCUUGUGCGCUUUGGGUGUACUUUUUCGUAUGGUUGGCCAACAUCAGUUUCGAUCACUAUAAAAUGACUGGCGGAAUGUAGCUUCGAUUUCGGUUGAAGUGUUAUAGCCUCUGGUAGAUGUGGUGAUUGGGACUGAGGAUUGCAACGAAUAUCCUUUGGGCUAUCCGUCUGGCCUCUGAAAGUUGCUUGGGUGCUGAAAGCUUGCUUAUGGUUAUCUAAGUUAACGGUCAAUAGGUUAGAACGCGAUUACAUUCGUUAAGGAUGUUGACGUA